CCUACGGGAGGCAGCAGUAGGGAAUCUUCCACAAUGGGCGAAAGCCUGAUGGAGCAACGCCGCGUGGGUGAAGAAGGUCUUCAGAUCGUAAAACUCUGUUGUUAGAGAAGAAAGUUCGUGAGAGUAACUGUUCACGUUUCGACGGUAUCUAACCAGAACGCCACGGCUAACUACGUGCCAGCAGCCGCGGUAAUACGUAGGUGGCAAGCGUUAUCCGGAUUUAUUGGGCGUAAAGGGAGCGCAGGCGGUCUUUUAAGUCUGAUGUGAAAGCCUUCGGCUUAACCGGUGUGGUGCAUUGGAAACUGUGAGACUUGAGAGCAGAAGAGGAGAGUGGAACGCCAUGUGUAGCGGUGAAAUGCGUAGAUAUAUGGAAGAACACCAGUGGCGAAAGCGGCUCUCUGGUCUGUAACUGACGCUGAGGUUCGAAAGCGUGGGUAGCAAACAGGAUUAGAUACCCCAGUAGUC
rnacentral:rRNA from 1 species